AACGAACGCUGGCGGCAUGCCUAACACAUGCAAGUCGAACGAGACCUUCGGGUCUAGUGGCGCACGGGUGCGUAACGCGUGGGAACCUGCCCUUAGGUUCGGAAUAACUCCCCGAAAGGGGUGCUAAUACCGGAUAAUGUCUUCGGACCAAAGAUUUAUCGCCUUUGGAUGGGCCCGCGUUGGAUUAGCUAGUUGGUAGGGUAAAAGCCUACCAAGGCGACGAUCCAUAGCUGGACUGAGAGGAUGAUCAGCAACACUGGGACAGAGACACGGCCCAGACUCCUACGGGAGGCAGCAGGGGGGAAUAUGGGACAAUGGGCGAAAGCCUGAGCCAGCAAGGCCGCGUGAGUGAUGAAGGCGUUAGGGUUGUAAAGCUCUUUUACCCGGGAUGAUAUGACAGUACCGGGAGAAUAAGCUCCGGCUAACUCCGUG
rnacentral:rRNA from 1 species